rnacentral:rRNA from 1 species
ACAACGCUGGCGGCAGGCCUAACACAUGCAAGUCGAACGGCAGCGGGGAGUAGCUUGCUACUCUGCCGGCGAGUGGCGGACGGGUGAGUAAUGUCUGGGAAACUGCCUGAUGGCGGGGGAUAACUACUGGAAACGGUAGCUAAUACCGCAUAACGUCGCAAGACCAAAGAGGGGGACCUUCGGGCCUCUUGCCAUCAGAUGUGCCCAGAUGGGAUUAGCUUGUUGGUGGGGUAACGGCUCACCAAGGCGACGAUCCCUAGCUGGUCUGAGAGGAUGACCAGCCACACUGGAACUGAGACACGGUCCAGACUCCUACGGGA